UACGUAGGGUGCAAGCGUUUUUUUUUUGUCCGGAAUUAUUUGGGCGUAAAGAGCUCGUAGGCGGUUUUGUCGCGUCUGCUGUGAAAACUCGGGGCUUUAACCCCGGGCCUGCAGUGGGUACGGGCAGACUAGAGUGCGGGUAGGGGAGACUGGAAUUUCCUGGUGUAGCGGUGGAAUGCGCAGAUAUCAGGAGGAACACCGAUGGCGAAGGCAGAUCUCUGGGCCUAACUGACGCUGAGGAGCGAAAGCAUGGGGAGCGAACAGG
rnacentral:rRNA from 1 species